GAGAUUCUGUGAGUGCAUCUCCGAGUAGGGGCUGAGGGCACAGCUCUCCUGGCUCCUCUGCUCGGUUACAUCUACACAGUGAAUACGCCCCAGGUCCCAGCCUGGGAUCCACAGAAUCUUGAUAUUUUCCACUUCUGGAAAAUAAACUUCUGUUUUCUCCAGUUCAGCUGAGCUGAACAUCUACAAUGUCUGGCUUUACAGGUUUUGAUGCUGAAAAUAUUUUUUAUUUUUUAUUUUUUUUUUGAGACAGAGUCUCACUCUGUUGCCAGGCUGGAGUACAAUGGUGCCAUCUUGACUCACUGCAACCUCUGCCUCCCGGGUUCAAGCUAUUCUCCUGCCUCAGCUUCCUGAGUAGCUGGUACUACAGGCGUGUGCCACCAUGCCCAGGUUUUGACUGGAAUGCCAGGCUUAACGUUGCUCAGAAGUUGCUUCUAUGAGGACGUCUCCCAGCAGCUGUCAGUGUUUCCAAUGAGUCAUCGCCAGCCCCUGCAAUGAGCCUCUCAGGCUGGUAAGUUUUGUUUCAGAACCGCUUCCUCAAGCUUCUUUUGCCUUUAAAAGCUUCCUCUUGCCCCAGCCUCCCA
rnacentral:lncRNA from 1 species